GUAGUCUUUCAAUGUCUCCCAAAUAAAGUCAUAAAACUCUUAUUUUCUUGUAGUAUGUAAUGGAUUGCUUUUCAAUUUUUAUGAUUACAUUGCACUUUUUCCAUCUCAAAAUUGAUGUAAAUAUAUGGCUAUGGCAUUUAUGAUGUGGAUAUACAUACUAAGCAGAAGACCACAUUUUCUCAAUAAAUUAUGUAGUUUCUUUAGCAUAUAUAUAUGUGCGUGUGUGUCAUAUGAGUGCAGCGUGCUAAAGGGUCUUUUUCUUUUUUUCCAUUUAUGAUUGCGCCAACGUCUUUCUGUUCAUUUGACUCAUUGUUUAUUGGGUUCUUCGUUUCAGAUGCAAAUCAUGUGUUUGUGAAAAUGCCUGCAUGGACUACUGUUGUGAAAUCAGCUUGGGACUUUGUGUUAUUCUUCUAUAUGUUGCUGUAUACUGCUGCUUGUUCUCUGAUAAUGAUGUUCUUUGCUUCUUAAAAGGAAAUAGGAGAGAGGGGAGGCAAGUUUUAUGCCAUUAAUGUUCCACUCAAGGAUGGAAUAGAUGACAUUAGCUUCACUCGUCUUUUCAAAACUAUUAUUUCCAAGGUUGUUGAAACAUAUCAACCAGGUGUCAUAGUUCUCCAGUGUGGAGCAAAUUCACUAGCUGGAGAUCGCUUAGGCUCCUUUCUUACCUUACACAUGCUAGAAAAGUUGGUGUUUUUUUUUCUCCUGAUUCAGGGUGUUUGAUGUUGUGUUGUCCUGGUCCAUUUAUACAACCAAUUUUUACCAGCCAAUGCAUGGGAGGAGGAAGACGAAGUUGUUCUGAUCACUUGUCGCCUUGACAAUAUAGAUAUAAAUAUGAUCAGUGUGGCAAUCAAAGAAAAGCUUGAACAUUUUAGAACUGAGGUGUAUGAGUUGAGAUUCAACUUGAAAACUGGUUUAGCCUCCCAGCGUAAGCUCUCAUCAUCAGCUGUAGAAUUUCCUAGGAUAAAUGAGAGCUACACUACCAGAUCUAGAUUUCUUUUUUCUCAUUUUGGAAAAAAAUCGUCCAAGUUCACACCAUUUCUAAAAUUGUCUCUGUGUGAGUGAACUCAGGAAGCAGAGAUAUGUGUAUGGAACCAGACUGGACAGCAUUGCAAUUGGCUGUAGAGUUCUGAAAUGUUAGAACUUCAAAUCCUUAA